rnacentral:rRNA from 1 species
UACGUAGGGGGCAAGCGUUGUCCGGAAUCACUGGGCGUAAAGCGUGCGUAGGCGGCCUUGUAAGUCUGGGGUGAAAACUCAGGGCUCAACCCUGAGAAUGCCUUGGAAACUGUGAGGCUUGAGUACUGGAGAGGCAAGGGGAAUUCCACGUGUAGCGGUGAAAUGCGUAGAGAUGUGGAGGAAUACCAGUGGCGAAGGCGCCUUGCUGGACAGUGACUGACGCUGAGGCACGAAAGCGUGGGGAG